AUUGAACGCUGGCGGCAGGCCUAACACAUGCAAGUCGAACGAGUGGCGGACGGGUGAGUAAUGUCUGGGAAACUGCCUGAUGGAGGGGGAUAACUACUGGAAACGGUCGCUAAUACCGCAUACCCUCAGUUGUGCCCAGAUGGGAUUAGCUUGUUGGUGGGGUAACGGCUAACCAAGGCGACGAUCCCUAGCUGGUCUGAGAGGAUGACCAGCCAAACUGGAACUGAGACACGGUCCAGACUCCUACGGGAGGCAGCAGUGGGGAAUAUUGCACAAUGGGCGCAAGCCUGAUGCAGCCAUGCCGCGUGUAUGAAGAAGGCCUUCGGUUGGUAAAGUACUUUCAGCGGGGAGGCGUUACCUGCAGAAGAAGCACCGGCUAACUCCGUGCCAGCAGCCGCGGUAAUUC
rnacentral:rRNA from 1 species